rnacentral:rRNA from 1 species
CCUACGGGAGGCAGCAGUAGGGAAUAUUGGACAAUGGGGGAAAGCCUGAUCCAGCAAUGCCGCGUGAGUGAUGAAGGCCUUAGGGUUGUAAAGCUCUUUUACCCGGGAUGAUAAUGACAGUACCGGGAGAAUAAGCCCCGGCUAACUCCGUGCCAGCAGCCGCGGUAAU